UACGUAGGGUGCAAGCGUUAAUCGGAAUUACUGGGCGUAAAGCGUGCGCAGGCGGUUUUGUAAGUCUGACGUGAAAUCCCCGGGCUCAACCUGGGAAUUGCGUUGGAGACUGCAAGGCUGGAGUCUGGCAGAGGGGGGUAGAAUUCCACGUGUAGCAGUGAAAUGCGUAGAGAUGUGGAGGAACACCGAUGGCGGAGGCGGCAUCCUGGACCGACACUGACACUGAGGAGCGAAAGCCAGGGGAGCAAACGGG
rnacentral:rRNA from 1 species